UAGCCACUAAGUUUUAAACGAAUGUUUUGAAAGCAUUAUAAGGGGUCUACCCAGUGGUUAA
rnacentral:tRNA from 1 species